UACGAAGGGGGCUAGCGUUGUUCGGAAUUUAUUGGGCGUAAAGGGCGCGUAGGCGGCCCGGUAAGUCAAAGGUGAAAUCCCUCGGCUCAACUGAGGAACUGCCUUUGAAACUGUCGGGCUUGAGGCCGGGGAGGGGGUAGCGGAAUUCCCAGUGUAGCGGUGAAAUGCGUAGAUAUUUGGGAGGAACACCGGUGGCGAAGGCGGCUACCUGGACCGGUUCUGACGCUGAUGCGCGAAGCG
rnacentral:rRNA from 1 species